AGUUUGCCAUAACUACAAACUUGAAAAUUGGAAAAUGCAAGAAAAUCAUGCUAUAAUGACACUCAAAAAUCAAAAUACUAGUAUAAUAUUCAUAGAAUGAAAAAGAGGAAAACAAAAUAAAACAUACUAUAUAGAUAAAUACUUCAAAUUAAUACUUAUUUUCACUAUAUUGUACUUACUUUUCACUUUCAAAAUCUUUAGCUGCAUCUAAAUGACUGUCACUUUAGCUCCUCCUUCUGCUAUCAAAUUCAUGAUUGAAUCAUAGAAUGUUUUUUCUUCUUCACUUCCACAGUCCCACUCAUCAAAAGUGGCGUCGUUUUGCAAUGCCAGAGUUUGAUUAACAUAAAAAAACAAACAAACUCGAGAAAUUAAGUGAAAGAAGAAGAAGAGAAAAACAGAGGUUAUGUAUGUUAUUAUGUUUUUUUGGCCACCCAUUUUGGUGAAUGAAGGAAACCCAGGGGAGUUCAUGGCUAGUGUGGACUCCGAUUUCUUGUUGUAGAUGUGUUGCUUUUCGUCGUCAACAAUAUGGGAUGGGGAAUAUCCUUUUGACGUGACUUUGAAGUUAUUGAUUUGUAGCAACCUCCGUUGUGGUGAGAGGAACAAGUGUUGUUGUUGUUUCUUGUGAAUUAGCUAGGAUCGAUCUGAAGUGUAGGAUUUUGCUGGUGCUUGCACUUUCAUAUAGGUUGAGAGUUUUCAUGCUUAAGAGUUGUCGAUUUGAGCACAAGUUAUGUAACUAUUAGUAGAGAGUAAAAGUUUGUUUUUAAUGGUCUUGUGAGUGUAUUAUAUGAUUUGGUGAAUGUUGUAAAGGUAUUGAAAAGCUAUCUCGUUUCAAAUAGCUAUGGAUUCUUGUUGUUCUUCAUGAUAAUUGGAUCAACUUCGUAGACAAGCAGAAAUCUAAAAGUUCUAGAGAUAGUGCUUCUAUUCUUUUGGGAUCAUUUGAAUGGAGUAAAUAAAGGGAAUGCCCCUAUAUUACUUUUGUAAAGGUCGCUUCGUUUAUGUUUGUGAUAGCUUAAAGUAUGAAUACCGUUUUUCCUUUUUAAGUUUCAACUUUUUUGAGGAGUAGAGUAAUAUCCCCUUAUCACAUACCGCUAGAUAUAUAUUAACAUAGGAGAGGACUCUAAGCAACAAUAAAUUUUCUUUUCUUUGUCAUAAGCUUAAUGUGUCACAUGAUGAUAGGGCACCAACUUAUGUCAUGUAAUAGAGUAAGCCUGCAAGCUAGUGGCGAACUACCUAACAUCCAAGAGUAAAACUAGAUAGAUGCUAGGAUUUUUCGAGACAUUGAUGAAUAUUUGAUGGCAAGAAGGAUUCCUUUUACUCCAAAGGAUAAACAAUUGGAUUUGUGGCAAUGUAUAUAAAAAUUGUGUGUGACGUGAGGUAUGUCUAGGCGCCAAGCGGUGAAGCCCAAGCUAAUAGGGGUAACACGCAUUUAUUGGGUUAGGCGAAGUGCUUUUUAGGCUGCUUUGGAUGGGGAGGACUGAGGUGCACAAAGAAGUUCCCUAAGGCACACCACAACUUAUUUUACACCAGCAUUAUUUAUUGUGCCUCACUUCAAUGAGGCACGAGCCUCAUGCCUGCUCUUUAAGACUAGAGCAUAUGCUCCAGUUUGCCUUGAGCUAUCUUUAGCUCUGGUUUGUGGUAUGCAAAACUCAUAAGACCAUGUGAGGAGUUGCAACGAUUUUCUUAUGAUCAUGGUUCCUAGAUGCUGUGUUCUACUUGGUUUAUUAGUGCUUCAGGUCUAUUGCUCUUUGAAUGACUGAUACAAAGCAUGAAUUUGAGGGGAAGUAACUUUCCUCGGAUUGAGCUGGUGUUUGACGGGAUAAGUUUGUGGUAGAGUGAAAACCUAUGACUCUAUGAGAUAAUAAUAUAGCGAUAAGAUUGUUUCUAGGAAAAGAUAUGAACAAAGUUCUUUACUGUGAUGUUUGAAUAGAUCAGUAUCUAAGGGCAUGCUGGAGUCUGUCCUACAAAAGAUCUCCAACCAAUGUUAAGUUGUAUACUGAAGCUGAUUUUUGUCCUGGCAUGUUGCAUGUUUGUGGCAUAUUGUAAACUCAAUAGCUCACAGUAGAUUUUGUUUUGUGCUGUCCUGUUUGUUCAGAUGUCUUUGGUGAUCUAGGUGUAGUUUAUUAGGUGGAUGUAUUUGCUGAGGUAGUGCUAUUCCAGGGUGUUAGUGAAGAAUAUGAUCUACAGCAGAUAUGAAUUUAGGAUAAUCCACAAACUUGUGGUGUUUAUUAUCUUUACAUGGACAAGUUAAAUAUGGAGAAUGCUCUGGCUAGUAUUCUUAACCUAACUUUCCUUCAUAGCAUUUGAGACAGAUCAUAACCUAUCUUAACCUGGAUUCGUCUGAUAUUAAACUGAGCUGGGUUCAUAUUAACUUUGGCUGGGAGUGCACCCCAUAAAAGGACUAAAUUAUUAAGCUCAACACUAUCAACCCCUCCAGCAUGCCUCGAAAAUAAAAGAGCAUUGCUAUCUAAUCUUUCUUCCCUCAACCCGAGCUCCAUACAACUACCCAUGCAUGAUUGUAGAUCCAAGUUCAAUAACUGCCUUCCAAUUGACUACCAAAAUGAUUGGGUUAUCGACCUACCCCCUAAAUCCAAACAAAAAUGAAAGGUCCUCUGCCCUUGUUGUGAAAAGCAGGUUUCAUUACAUGACCAGUGGAAGGAUCCUAGACCCAACUUUUAAUAUAAUAUUUAGAUUUUCUCAUACGAAAUGUUGAUUCUUGGUAGAAUACUAUAAUAUUGAAGGACACUACAAUAGUAAGAUAUCAUUAAAAAAAAUUGGUCGGAUGUAACGAAAAUAUGCAAAAAUAUUGCUGGAACAAAUGGACUAGGAGAGGUACUCAAACAUUGCUAGCAUUCAGUCAAAUACUAUAUGCUACCAUUUCUCGAGUUUGAUGGUGAUUUUCAAGGGUCUAAUUGUUCACUGUUUAUGCUGUGGCUGUACACUAGUAAUACCCACACAACAAGAGGAUAUGGAGAGGUGAGGUUAAGAUGGUUGCAGUGAACUUUGCUGGAUAUAUACUAGUAAUAAUGAUUUUUGUCUAAACUCAACCACCUGGUGUGCUCAUUACAAGGAUUCAUCAUUCACCCACAUAUGUAGGAUGGAAGUCUAGCUCUCCCAAACACUCUCUUUAGCACUGUCCUGCAAUGCGCUACUUAUGAUAGCUUUUUUCAGCUUGAUUAUCUCAUUUUCUUAGUUAUGCUCUUUCUGUAAUACAAAGCCUGAAGUGGAUCAAUACAAUCUCCUCAAAAAUAGCAUAUAUGGGACCGUUGCGGCCUGCAUAUUAGAGGGGAAGACUCUGUUGUUGCAUAUGCUUUUGGAAGUAAGAUAUAAGCUCCUGGAUGGAGUCCUGUGGCUGCUAUUCCUACUUGGACUUUGAAAAAGGGCCUUCUAUUAAUAAAGGUUUUUGAGAUUGAGAUUGAGAUUGUGAUGAAGGAACCUUGUGUUAUGAGAGGAGUUAAUUUGCAGAGAUAAAGAACUACUUCCCCGUUUCUUUUUAUUGCAAUGUAUUCCCUCUAGGGAUUUGUUACAAUACUUGCAACCAAGCUCAAAAUGGCAACUUUUUGUAGCCAAAUUCCACAAGUACCCUUAACUAACUAAUCUAAACAAUUAACACUCAUAACCCAACCUCCCCAACUUUUUCCCACUCUCUCCUCACCCCUUCAAACCUCUACCAACCCCCUUCAACCCACAUGCCCCUUCAACCCCAACCCCAACACUGCACCAACACCAAUCGCCACCGCCAUUGCAGGCUCCUGAUCCAAACUUUCAUGGUUAAAUUCUACCCUUUAAAGCCUGCUAAAGGGUGUGAUAACAGCAUCAUAAUCUCAGGCAAGGGUGUGCACAGUAGGUUGUUUACGAUCCGUCCAGAUAUAAACCCGCAAUUGCUUCAAUGAAAACCACAAAAAGAGAGGUAAUGAAGAGGAGAAGAGGUGGUCUGGUCGGGCUAGAGGAUAAGCUUGGUGGCUGGUUUUGGAGGAGGGUGUCGCGAUGUUUACUGGUGGAAUAAGAGGUGGAUGUGAUGGUGGCCGGGGGUGUUGAAUAUGGUUGGUGGUGCUGUUGCAUCUGUGCUGGCGGCGGUGGUGGGGGGACGUAUCUCUGUUGGCGAUGAUGAUAGUUACAGGGAGGGAGGAGGGAAGGUAGGUGGUAGGAGUAAUUAGUUUAUCUUUGAUGGUGAAUUAGUUUUGUUAAUUAAAGGGGUUAGAUGUCCUUUAGAACACUCUCUCUCCUCUUUCUUAAAAAGUGUGCAAACAGGUAUGUUGCAAGUAAAAAGAAACAAAAGAAGUAUAAUAUAAACGAUUCUUUUUUUAUUGGCUUUGCAGAAUAGAUUGUCCUCUAAGCAAAUACAAGUUACUACAAUACUAUUUGAAGAACUAGUUUUUACCCAUGUUGGCUCCUCCAUGCUCCAGCAAAGGUAUGGGCUCUUUGAUACUAAACAUACAUUUUUUUUGUAAAAUAGCCGAGUCAGACACUUGGAAACGUAAGUCCAAGUAACAUAGGUUUAACCAAAAGCUUCAAGGGCAAAAAGUGAUGAGGUAGUUCACACCCGUAGGGCAUGUAAAAGUGCUUGUAGGAUCAUCAUAGGCAUAACUAUAAGCUUGAGGGCACUGAUUCUUAAAGUAUUGUGACUGACUUGUUGGUGGGCAUGUUUGAGGUGUGUUGUGUUCCCCAGUGCAACAAUAUUGUGGCUGGUUCAAAGCCACACAUGCACUGUUACAACCUAUGGUACUCCCCUGAUCCUUAACGGCCAAUGUUUCUGGGCAUUGAGUGUUCAAAUUGGCUGUGCAACUUGUAGACGGACACUCAGUUCCGCCUUGUGGGACCACUGAUAAGGGUAAGUUGAAGCCAUCAACAAGGCUGAUAUCGUAGAAGUCCUUGUUCAUGUUUCCUGCUAGGGUAAAUUCUGCUAGGGUUGCUGGUGGAGCUCCUCCUUUUCCGUUACAUGAUAUCUCACCAGAACCACAAUCCCCUGUCAUACACCUGAACAACAAUGAUGGUGCUGUUAAGUGUAGCUUAAGCGAUAUUUGACUUUUAUGGUCAAAGUAUAUCAACUUUGACAAUUCAUUUUUUUCAUUAUUGCCAUAGUUGUAGAAGUUAUGUAUAAUAUCAGAUGAAAUUGUCUCAAGAUGACUUAUUUGUCGUAUUAUUUUUCACAUUGUAAUCAA